GACUGGUGCAUUGCGUCAAUGUUAUGACAUUCCACUUCUGAUGGUACUUAGCAAAAUCAAAAAAUGGAAUCUACAGUACAUACUGACCAGCGUGCAUAUUAACCAGGACUGAGAAAACUUCCUGAGAUAAUGGAAGUGUUGAAAGGACCAGAGGAAAAAGUCAUCAUUAAUAUCUGAAUCUGCGCACAUCCGUAGAGUACAUUGUUUAAAUGAGUUCUGGGGGGUUCAUGUGAUGCUGUUGCUCUUGAGUUAAUUGUGAUGUUAAAUGAAUGCUAAUCUCCUUCUCGCAACAAUUACAGCAGCUACGUCAGAAGCUGUCAAAGCAAAAGUUGAAACCUGUUUUGCACAGGAAGUAGAAGAAAAAAACAUGCAAUUAACUUUUCUGCAGUUUCAGGCAUAUAGGCUGGUUAAACCACCAGAGGAGGCUCAUGCUUAUUUGUCUGCAUAUCCCUGGAUCAAUACUCAAGUUGGAUUAAAGGCUAACAGGCUAAACUCACCAGCUGCGAUUUUAUCAUAUUUCACUUAUAUCAGUAGAGGCACGGGCUAUUUAUCUUUAUAUUUAAAUAUGAACAGGCAGCAGUUUAGCCAAAAAUCCCUGAUGAAGAUGCCACAAAACACCCUUUGCUAUGCCCAGUGUAUUUGUGCUUGAAGGAUAACAAACUACUAGGAAGCUGAUUAUCACCUAGUGACUCAGUCGCCCAUAAAUUACAGGUACAGUACAGAAUGUUGGCGAACAAGGGUCUAUCUAAGAUAAAUAGGAGUGAUACAAGGUGCUUUUUCCUACUGUUAGGUAGCCUGCAACUACCAUCGACUAUAUUGCCAACCAUCCAUCCAUCCAUUAUCCAACCCACUUAUCCUGGUCAGGGUCCUACAAUAUCUGGUGCCUAUCCCAGCAUGCAUUGGACGAGAGGCAGGGAUACACCCUGGACAGUUUGCCAGUCCAUCGCAGGGCACACACACUCAUGCACUCUUAUCUAGGGGCAAUUUAGACUCUCCAAUUAACCUAACCUGCAUGUCUUUGGACUGUGACAGGAAACCAAAGUGCCCAGAAGAAACUCAGGCAAACAUGGGGAGAACAUACAAGCUCCACACAGAAAGGCCUGGCCAGGAUUCUAACCCAGGACCUUCUUUCCCACUGCACCACUGUGCCACCCUACCAAUCAAUCAACCAAUUGCAGGCUUCCUUCCUACUCGCUUCAAGAAGGCUUCCUCCCUCAUCAGCACUGAACCCCCUCGGUGACCCCCGACAUUAAUGAGCUUUACCCUGGGCCAUCCCAUUAUGUCCCUGAGCUUCUCAUCAAAGAAAUCCUGCCUCCUAACAGAUCAUUUCAGUCAAUUAUUUGCAAAAAAAAAAAAAAAGGAAAGUUAAUUGCCUUUUCAGUCAUCUUGUUCUGUUUAAGGAGCAGGGAUUAACCCGUAAUCUAUGAUUAAAGUUUGUCCCCAGGAUUCUCUUAGAAGAAUUCAUUCGUAAUCUAUGGUAGUAUAAAAGUCAAGUGGAACCGCUCUUUUGUGUGUUUUCCAAAACACAUCCAAGGUAUACUUCAACUUGGAACGCCCUCAAUGCUAUCCUCAGUCCCCUACGUAACUUCAUAAGAAGUAAACUCUAAUCUGUGGUAGCCAGGGUACUUCAUUGCUUGCCAUGCUGUCUGUCCAGUCAGCUGUAAUAUUUAUUGGGGAUGUAUAUUACAAAAGAUGAAUAUGAAAUUAUUAUAUAUUUUAUCACUUUUUUAUUAUUUUAUUCUGUAUUCUUUUAUUUAUAUUACUUUACACUACAUUUACAUUGUCUUAUUUAUAGUGUUGUAUUUCAUUUUAUUUCUUUGGAACUGUUUUGAUUUUUGUGCUGAAUUUAUAUGUCAGUAUGAAAGGUGCUAUAUAAAUACAAUUUUUUGUUGA